CCCUUAAAUGUUCUGGGCCGCACGCGCGCUACACUGACAGAGCCAACGAGUUCUUCACCUUGGCCGGAAGGUCUGGGUAAUCUUGUUAAACUCUGUCGUGCUGGGGAUAGAGCAUUGCAAUUAUUGCUCUUCAACGAGGAAUGCCUAGUAAGCGCGUGUCAUCAGCACGCGUUGAUUACGUCCCUGCCCUUUGUACACACCGCCCGUCGCUACUACCGAUUGAAUGGCUCAGUGAGGCCUUCGGACUGGCUCAGGGAGGUUGGCAACGACCACCCCGAGCCGGAAAGUUCGUCAAACUCGGUCAUUUAGAGGAAGUAAAAGUCGUAACA
rnacentral:rRNA from 1 species